UGCAGUGACCUCUCCCUCUUGCGUUCUCUGACGAUCUCCUCCAACGACGAUCUUCUUCGAUGACAUCUCCUCUCGCGACAGCUUCUCUAGCGGCGAUCUCCUCUGAUGACGGCCCCUCCAGCUUCCUCUCCUUGCCGUUCCCUGUGUCUUCUCCGCCAAAAUCUCAGCACUUCCCUUUCGUUCUGGAUCAGUAAGGUCGGCUUGCCUCUUUUAGGUCGUAUGCAAGGAUUCAUCGCGAGUGAUUCCACUGUUUGCGUAGCAAGAUCAACAGCAACAGCAAGAAUAAGAAGAGGCCAGCGCUGGAUUUUGAAUCGUAGUGGAGUAGUAGUGGCGAGUGUACUUCUCCACAGUCCACAUCCGCUAUGGCCGAGCAUUGACGCUUUGAUUUUGGUGAAGAGGAAAGCUCUGGAUUUGCAGCAAGAAGUGAAAGCCUCAGUAUCAUUAAUGGCAUGCGAUACCUGAAGCUUGGGGUGAAAACUGAGGGUGCAUUGAACAACAGGUGAAUGAUUUUGUAUAUAUUUGGGGACCCUCCUUCCACUUGCAGGGUCAGUUUAAGACAACUGAGAGAGACAUAAGAAAUUGGAGGCCUUCUUAAGCAAAUGUAAAGGUGUUCUGCA